rnacentral:tRNA from 1 species
AGAAAAAACUUGGAGUAAAACAGGGCUGCUAACCUUGCUUUGGGUAAUUCGAAUUUAUCCUUUUUCUU